UAAGCCAAAGCACUGGUAUAUUCUAAUCGAAAGCUGAUCAUAAGUUGGACGUUAGUAGUUUGGGUUACCUUUGAGUAAUAAUUUCUUCGAUCUCACCCUUUUUCUGAUUUGCAGAUGGGGAACCACCCCAAUUGACGAAGGGCAAAUGUCUGGAAACAAGAAACACUGAUGAGGCUACUGGAAGAAGCAAAAUCUACUCAAUUGUCUGAAUUAAAAAAUCACAGGUGCGGAAAAUAAUAAUAUUUCUGACUGCAAAACAGGCUAUCUAUAGAAAAGGAACACUAGUACAUCUGUUUCGCACAUUCAGGCAGGCAAACGAGUGUAGUAUAAAUUUCUAGAAUUUUGUCAGUCGAGAAAUUCAGAGUUGAUUUAUUUGAAUACUAGUACAUUUUAAAUAAUGAGCAUGAAGAUCAUUAAUAUUGUGGUAAAACUCACUUUCCAUUGACCAAAUUAACAUCCUUGUUCAAUUAAUGGACUGAUUGAUGGCUGAUCUCCCAAUCACGUACCAAUCAACCACCCUUGUAGUGACUACUGCUGCUGAUCCAUUCAUCUUAAUUUUAUUUCUCUUCAAUAAUUAAUUUGAUUUUAUGGGCAUUUAAUUUGGAGAAAAAAUUACAACAAAGCUGUCACAAGGGAUUUGAUUUUAUGCAUGUAAAUUUAUAUCCUUAAUUAUAUUUAAGAAAGAAGAAGCACAAAUACAAAUAAAUGGGAAAGUUUAGAAUGCAAAUAUCACAUCACUCCUAUAAAUUUAUUUAUUUAUUUUCAUUUAUAUAUAUAUGGAGAGAGAGAGAGAGAGAGAGUGCGUGUACAUUAAUUAAUUAAUCAUGGUCCUUUGAUGUGUUGAAGUUGUCGAAAAUGCUUUUGUGCUGCUACUGCUGCUGCUUCUUCUUCUGUAUUACAUGAAUGAAUUGCUCUAUCAUUUUCCUUAUCAUCUUUCACUAUGGAAUUAUAAGUGGUGUACUUCCCAAUGGGGUUUGUGCUGCCAGAGAAGAGAAGAAACAAAGUACCCAAAACACAGCCCAGAAGGGGAACAGAUGAGCAGAUAGCUUCAGCUUUCUGUAGAUUCAUAAUAGCUAGCUAGUUUUUGCUCAAAAUUUGU
rnacentral:lncRNA from 1 species